GGGGAAACGCCCGGUCCCAUUCCGAACCCGGAAGCUAAGCCCUUCAGCGCCGAUGGUACUGCACGGGAGACUGUGUGGGAGAGUAGGUCGCCGCCGGAC
rnacentral:rRNA from 1 species